rnacentral:rRNA from 1 species
AUUGAACGCUGGCGGCAGGCUUAACACAUGCAAGUCGAGCGGGGGAAGGUAGCUUGCUACUGGACCUAGCGGCGGACGGGUGAGUAAUGCUUAGGAAUCUGCCUAUUAGUGGGGGACAACAUCUCGAAAGGGAUGCUAAUACCGCAUACGUCCUACGGGAGAAAGCAGGGGAUCUUCGGCCCUUGCGCUAAUAGAUGAGUCUAAGUCGGAUUAGCUAGUUGGUGGGGUACAGGCCUACCAAGGAGACGAUCUGUAGCGGGUCUGAGAGGAGGGUCCGCCCCACUGGGACUGAGAAACGGCCCAGACUCCUACGGGAGGCAGCAGUGGGGAAUAUUGGACAAUGGGGGGAACCCUGAUCCAGCCAUGCCGCGUGUGUGAAGAAGGCCUUAUGGUUGUAAAGCACUUUAAGCGAGGAGGAGGCUACUCUAGUUAAUACCUAGGGAUAGUGGACGUUACUCGCAGAAUAAGCACCGGCUAACUCUGUGCCAGCAGCCGCCGUAA